rnacentral:rRNA from 1 species
AAGCGCUUGCAACUAGACUUGCGCGCUGCUGAUCAUCCGAGCUUUUGCCCGGUGCACUCGGCAGCGUUCAGGCCAGCAUCGGUUUUGGUGGGCGGAUAAAGGCCUUGGGAAUGUAGCUUCUUUCGGGGAGUGUUAUAGCCCAUUGUGUAAUACCCUGUGGUGGACUGAGGUUCGCGCAUCUGCAAGGAUGCUGGCGUAAUGGU